AACCACCUGAACCCAUGCCGAACUCAGAAGUGAAACGCGGUAGCGCCGAUGGUAGUGUGGCAUUCGCCAUGCGAGAGUAGGACACUGCCAGGC
rnacentral:rRNA from 1 species